GACGAACGCUGGCGGCGUGCUUAACACAUGCAAGUCGAACGGAAAGGCCCUGCUUUUGUGGGGUGCUCGAGUGGCGAACGGGUGAGUAACACGUGAGUAACCUGCCCUUGACUUUGGGAUAACUUCAGGAAACUGGGGCUAAUACCGGAUAGGAGCUCCUGCUGCAUGGUGGGGGUUGGAAAGUUUCGGCGGUUGGGGAUGGACUCGCGGCUUAUCAGCUUGUUGGUUGGGUAGUGGCUUACCAAGGCUUUGACGGGUAGCCGGCCUGAGAGGGUGACCGGCCACAUUGGGACUGAGAUACGGCCCAGACUCGUACGGGAGGCAGCAGUGGGGAAUAUUGCACAAUGGGAGGAAGCCUGAUGCAGCAACGCCGCGUGCGGGAUGACGGCCUUCGGGUUGUAAAACGCUUUCGCCUGUGACGACGCGUGAGUGACGGUAAUGGGUAAAGAAGCACCGGCUAACUACGUG
rnacentral:rRNA from 1 species